rnacentral:rRNA from 1 species
ACCGGCUUCUGGUGUGCCUCAGAAUGCAAGUCGAACGAUUAAGACUUCCUUCGGGAAGUGCAUAAAGUGGCGCACGGGUGAGUAACACGUAAGUAAUCUACCCUCGAGUGGGGAAUAACGUUCGGAAACGGACGCUAAUACCGCAUAACGCAGCGGCACCGCAAGGUGACAGUUGUUAAAGGAGCAAUCCGCUUGAGGAGGAGCUUGCGGCAGAUUAGCUAGUUGGUAGGGUAAUGGCUUACCAAGGCUACGAUCUGUAUCCGGUCUAAGAGGACGGUCGGACACACUGACACUGAAUAACGGGUCAGACUCCUACGGGAGGCAGCAGUCGGGAAUUUUGGGCAAUGGGCGAAAGCCUGACCCAGCAACGCCGCGUGAAGGAUGAAGUAUUUCGGUAUGUAAACUUCGAAAGAAUAGGAAGAAUAAAUGACGGUACUAUUUAUAAGCUCCGGCUAACUACGUGCCAGCAGCCGCGGUAAUACGUAGGGAGCAAGCGUUGUUCGGAUUUACUGGGCGUAAAGGGCGCGUAGGCGGCGCGGUAAGUCACUUGUGAAAUCUCUGAGCUUAACUCAGAACGGCCAAGUGAUACUGCAGUGCUAGAGUGCAGAAAGGGCAAUCGGAAUUCUUGGUGUAGCGGUGAAAUGCGUAGAUAUCAAGAGGAACACCUGAGGCGAAGGCGGGUUGCUAGGCUGACACUGACGCUGAGGCGCGAAAGCCAGGGGAGCAAACGGGAUUAGAUACCCCGGUAGUCCUGGCCCUAAACGAUGAAUACUUGGUGUCUGGAGUUUCAAUACUCCGGG